UGGCUUCAGCUGGAGGAAGAGGAGUGGAUUGCUAAAAGUUGUGCAGGAAAAUCCAUAUGAUAAAAUGUGCUGAUAGCACAUAAUUCUGUCCAUGCUACAGACGACAUUUUUAUCUUUGGGGGAUCCUCAUUUUACAUAAUAAGAUACAAAACUAAGUGGCACCCUCUAUCCAGUCUGGGGAACUUCGUUAAAGACCUGAGUUUGCUGCUGUCUGUCAUUUGCUUUUCUUCAUGACACCUUUGAACCACCUAAAUAUUGCCAGCACCCUCUUUUGGGACCCUGACAUCUGAGAGGGUAGUGCCGGUGUUCGUCUGAAGUGUGACUCUGGU